rnacentral:rRNA from 1 species
CCUGGGACUUUAAGUCCCCUGAAGGGCCGUUGAAGACGACGACGUAGAUAGGCUGGAUGUGUAAGCGUAGCGAUACGUUGAGCUAACCAGUACUAAUGACCCGAGAGGCUUAACCUUA